rfam:Strongylocentrotus purpuratus Contig137646_fixed, whole genome shotgun sequence.
ACAACGGUCCUUUUCAGGACUACACACCUCCAAGAAAGAUUACCG